CCACCCUCACCCCGAUACCCACCUUCUUCCCGGCACGCCACCACGUCCCACGCCCCAACCUCCCUUUCUACCAUCUGCCGCCGCCACACCCUACCACCGUAGCCCCAAUCCCCUCCCGCGUGCUACCACCCUGAGGUGCCAUGGCUCUCCCCGACGCCCCCGUACUGCACGGAGCCGCGCAACCCCGUCACCUCUUCCCUGCGCGUGUCACCGUCCAUGGCCGAGGUGGAUCCACUUGUCCCCCCGGUGAUUCGAUCUCGAGCACCCCCAAUCGAGCCUCCCCUUCAUCGAUCCGCGCCCUCGUCAUCAACAGAGGUCCAGCGUCCGAGUCUUCCGCCCUGCCCUCCGUCCACCUUCUGCCGGAGCUCGAGCGCGUCGCAGUGCCGCAGUUGAGCUCGCCAGAUUCGAUGGUGUGCACCCGUUCCUCCUCCUGCAGCGUCGAUCCGUCGCUGCAGUCCCCAACUGCUUCCUUCCCCUCGCAGCCUCCCGCCUCCACUACCUUUCUCACCAAUCCCGGUCCACCGCGACGCCCCCCAUGGUCGGAUCCCUCUCCACCCCGUCCAGAUCAAGCCAGGUCGGAUCCGCCGAUUGGACGGGCCUGCCCUCCCUUCCAAUGCAGCUCUGUUGGCGCCCCAGUGCAGCUCGGCUACCAGCCCCCUUGUAGCUCAAUGGUGUGCGGUUUCAGAUGCCACCCCCGUGGAUCCACCUCCUCCUGCUGCAACAGGCCACCGCCUCCUAUGGUCGCCGUCGCCGCGCGCCACUUUCUUCCACCGGCCUCAUAGGCCGUGCCUCCCACGCCCCUUCCGCCCAUAUUCAAUCGGGAGCGUGGGGUUUAGGUUUGUCAUCAUCUUGUGGUCGCCGUCGCCGUGCAGUUCGCUGUGCGAAUCCUGUCCAGGAUUUGCCGUUGGAGAUUGUCUAAAUCCUGGUGGUGUUGUUCCUUUCGGCUGGUGGUGGUGCUACUGCGAGCUGGAGUGGAGCUCUACCCGUCAUACAUACCAUCCACCGGGCCGCCCCCGUGUAGUGCAGUUGAGGGGGACGCCGGAGUCCCCCCGGCGCGGCGCUGUACUCCGCUCUAGGUUGUCCUGGGCGAGGGGGCUCUCUGCAGUUCGGUGGCGCUCGUGGUGCAGCUCGAUGGCGGUGCAGCACAUGGACAGCGCCGCCGUGCAGUUCGCGCGACCGAGUGCGUGAAGUGCGUUCGGUGAGUACAUACGGUUCGGCGGGGGCGUCGUUUGCAUUCUUGCUGUGUCGAUUCACAUUGGCCAAAGAUGCAGCCGACGACUUCACGCGUGCAGUGCGGGUUCUCUGGUUCUGCAGUUGGGUGGUACCCCUCUGGACAACUCCUUUCAACCUGGCUAGGAGCAGCGCCAUGUGGUUUAUGUUGUUCUCUUGCGCAAGCUGGCUAGCAGCAGACGAUGACGACAUCGGCCAAAGAAUAUUUUGUCCAGUGAUGAUGUUUUUCGUUGUGUAUGUUGGAGAGGUUCACUCCUCCGUGCGGGUCCUUUUUCUUAUGUCGUUCGCUUAUUUCACAAGUGCAGUUUUACUAUUCGCUUUCAUGCCGACCAGAUUACUGGAUUUUUGCAAAAAAGAUGAGAGAACAUCAAAAGACACGUGUAUAUAUAGUAUUGAUUUUUUCC